rnacentral:rRNA from 1 species
AUUAGAGUUUGAUCCUGGCUCAGGACGAACGCUGGCGGCGUGCCUAAUACAUGCAAGUCGAGCGAAUCUGAGGGAGCUUGCUCCCAAAGAUUAGCGGCGGACGGGUGAGUAACACGUGGGCAACCUGCCUGUAAGACUGGGAUAACUUCGGGAAACCGGAGCUAAUACCGGAUAAUCCUUUUCUACUCAUGUAGAAAAGCUGAAAGAUGGCUUCGGCUAUCACUUACAGAUGGGCCCGCGGCGCAUUAGCUAGUUGGUGAGGUAACGGCUCACCAAGGCGACGAUGCGUAGCCGACCUGAGAGGGUGAUCGGCCACACUGGGACUGAGACACGGCCCAGACUCCUACGGGAGGCAGCAGUAGGGAAUCUUCCGCAAUGGACGAAAGUCUGACGGAGCAACGCCGCGUGAGUGAUGAAGGUUUUCGGAUCGUAAAACUCUGUUGUUAGGGAAGAACAAGUACCGUUCGAAUAGGGCGGUACCUUGACGGUACCUAACCAGAAAGCCACGGCUAACUACGUGCCAGCAGCCGCGGUAAUACGUAGGUGGCAAGCGUUGUCCGGAAUUAUUGGGCGUAAAGCGCGCGCAGGUGGUUUCUUAAGUCUGAUGUGAAAGCCCCGGCUCAACCGGGGAGGGUCAUUGGAAACUGGGAGACUUGAGUGCAGAAGAGGAAAGUGGAAUUCCAAGUGUAGCGGUGAAAUGCGUAGAGAUUUGGAGGAACACCAGUGGCGAAGGCGACUUUCUGGUCUGUAACUGACACUGAGGCGCGAAAGCGUGGGGAGCGAACAGGAUUAGAUACCCUGGUAGUCACGCCGUAAACGAUGAGUGCUAAGUGUUAGGGGGUUUCCGCCCUUUAGUGCUGCAGCUAACGCAUUAAGCACUCCGCCUGGGGAGUACGGCCGCAAGGCUGAAACUCAAAGGAAUUGACGGGGGCCCGCACAAGCGGUGGAGCAUGUGGUUUAAUUCGAAGCAACGCGAAGAACCUUACCAGGUCUUGACAUCCUCUGACAAUCCUAGAGAUAGGACGUUUCCCUUCGGGGAACAGAGUGACAGGUGGUGCAUGGUUGUCGUCAGCUCGUGUCGUGAGAUGUUGGGUUAAGUUCCGCAACGAGCGCAACCCUUGAUCUUAGUUGCCAGCAUUCAGUUGGGCACUCUAAGGUGACUGCCGGUGACAAACCGGAGGAAGGUGGGGAUGACGUCAAAUCAUCAUGCCCCUUAUGACCUGGGCUACACACGUGCUACAAUGGAUGGUACAAAGGGCUGCAAGACCGCGAGGUUUAGCCAAUCCCAUAAAACCAUUCUCAGUUCGGAUUGUAGGCUGCAACUCGCCUACAUGAAGCUGGAAUCGCUAGUAAUCGCGGAUCAGCAUGCCGCGGUGAAUACGUUCCCGGGCCUUGUACACACCGCCCGUCACACCACGAGAGUUUGUAACACCCGAAGUCGGUGGGGUAACCUUUAUGGAGCCAGCCGCCUAAGGUGGGACAGAUGAUGGGGUGAAGUCGUAACAAGGUACCAAUCGUCGACUGC